GAUGAACGCUGGCGGCGUGCCUAAUACAUGCAAGUCGAGCGAACAGACGAGGAGCUUGCUUCUCUGACGUUAGCGGCGGACGGGUGAGUACCACGUGGAUAACUUACCUAUAAGACUGGGAUAACUUCGGGAAACCGGAGCUAAUAUCGGAUAAUAUAUUGAACCGCAUGGUUCAAUAGUGAAAGACGGUUUUGCUGUCACUUAUAGAUGGAUCCGCGCCGCAUUAGCUAGUUGGUAAGGUAACGGCUUACCAAGGCAACGAUGCGUAGCCGACCUGAGAGGAUGAUCGGCCACACUGGAACUGAGACACGGUCCAGACUCCUACGGGAGGCAGCAGUAGGGAAUCUUCCGCAAUGGGCGAAAGCCUGACGGAGCAACGCCGCGUGAGUGAUGAAGGUCUUCGGAUCGUAAAACUCUGUUAUUAGGGAAGAACAAAAGUGUAAGUAACUAUGCACGUCUUGACGGUACCUAAUCAGAAAGCCACGGCUAACUACGUG
rnacentral:rRNA from 1 species